UCAGAGGCCACAACUUUCCCAGGAGGCAAUGGGACUACCCAAGCAGGACCGCCAGGAGUACCACUGGAGAAUUGUCUAGAAUGACCAUUAUACCUGGAAGUUCUAACACAGGGCCACAACUUCCACAAAAGGGACUGGUACUUCUGGAACUGGCUUCAAAACUGCACCUCUGGGGUGGCGCCUGGCACAACAGUUUCCCCUGGAAGUUUUAGCACAGGUGAGUCCACAG
rnacentral:lncRNA from 1 species